CAGCAGCCGCGGUAAUACGUAGGGUCCGAGCGUUGUCCGGAAUUACUGGGCGUAAAGAGCUCGUAGGUGGUUUGUCGCGUUGUUCGUGAAAACUCACAGCUCAACUGUGGGCGUGCGGGCGAUACGGGCAGACUAGAGUACUGCAGGGGAGACUGGAAUUCCUGGUGUAGCGGUGGAAUGCGCAGGCAUCAGGAGGAACACCGGUGGCGAAGGCGGGUCUCUGGGCAGUAACUGACGCUGAGGAGCGAAAGCGUGGGGAGCGAACAGGAUUAGAUACCCCGGUAGUCCCUGUCUCUUAUAC
rnacentral:rRNA from 1 species